ACUAGACUGGCUUGAUAUCGUUAAAAUCAUUAAAACACGGAUAUUAUAAGUUGCCCGUCACAGAGUCCUUGUUUAUAAUCACUCUGAUAUUUUUGUAAAGAUGUCAGGCGGUCAAAAUAAAAACAAUGAAUGCGAAUUAAGUGAAUUUUUCGUGUUCUCAUGAGUUUAUACUUCUUAAAAUAUUGGCAUUUUAACUUUACGUGGGAACCUAGAGUUCAACGACUACACAGACGUUUGGACUUGCUUAUUCUUUGGACAUCCAAGUUUCAAGUUUCACCCCGGCAACUUGUUUUUCCAAAGACCAUGUUAGCCAAUUUUCAACACGAAGUUUGCAAAUUUGACGUUUCAGCCAUUUUAGCCUGUAUUUUAUAUUGCAAUGAUAAAAGCCUCUCGCUUCGAUUUUCAAAAUAGCUCAGGAACCUUGAUUUUUGCAACGACAGUCAUUAUGUUUCGUUUAAAUGGUGUAUAUUGUUGUGUAUAUUUAUUUUCUGCACCGGCAACCUGUCUAUCACUUAAAUUAAAGUUAAAAUAGACCAUUUUUUUCAAAAAUCCCUAUCAUUUCAAUAUAAUUACCGUGACCCGUAUCCGAUUUCAUUAGUAUACUAUUCAAAUGAGCAAA
rnacentral:lncRNA from 1 species